rnacentral:misc_RNA from 1 species
GAUGAAGAACCGUAGCGAAAUGCGAUAAGUAAUGUGAAUUGCAGAAUUCAGUGAAUCAUCGAAUCUUUGAACGCACAUUGCGCCCGCCAGCACUCUGGCGGGCAUGCCUGUUCGAGCGUCAUUUCAACCAUCAAGCCCCCAGGGGCUUGUGCUGGGGCCCUGCGGCUGCCCGCAGGCCCUGAAAACCAGUGGCGGGCUCGCUAGUCACACCGAGCGCAGUAGCACAUCUCGCUCAGGGCGUGCGGCGGGCUCCUGCCGUGAAACCCCCCACUGUAACCCCAAAGGUUGACCUCGGAUCAGGUAGGAAUACCCGCUGAACUUAAGCAUAUCAAUAAGCGGAGGA